UUCCUCAGUCUUGGGCUUCUCUAGAGACUAUCCAUCAACUGUGACGAGGCAUCAAGCCAUUGUUAUCAAACGAGGAAGGUAACUUCUGCGCCGUAGCAUGUCUAUGACUGGUCGGCUAACAAGCCAGAAAUGGUUGUGUCCAGGAGGCAUGUGUCACUCAAAGUGCAGAGUUGGGGACCUCGGGAGAGAAGGUUGGUGAGGGUCAUACUUGGUGAGUAACGGGUAUGAC
rnacentral:lncRNA from 1 species